UGCAGUUUACCAUUAACCACAAUCAGUUAAUAGUCAAGACUCUGGCACCAUAUGGUCCCAAGUUGUCUGAUUAAAAAUACACCCUUUAAUGUGAUUUCUUAAGUCUCUGCUCCCUCACAGCCCCUGAAGCAGGUGCUGCAGUGCGGUUUAUGCUCCUGGAGUGAGGACACAGCCCUGUCUGGGGAGCGGCUUUGCGUCUGCUUGGCUGGGCCAUUGGCGAGCUCUGCCCUUCAGUGCUGGCAGCCACCUGAGCCCUGGUGUCCUGACGUCACCUGGAAGGACACAGCCCACAGGCUGAUGCCUGGGGGUUUAUUCCAGUUCCAGAGCUACUUCCUGACUGCUCACUGUUUACUAAUGAUAUGGUCCCCAAGAUAUCGGGCAAGCGACAGACAGGAGGGCACAUGUUGCUGUAAAAAAGAGAAACUGGAUAUUUGCCUGGGAAGUUUUCGAGACUCUGCCAGGAAGAAGAAAAAAGGAGCAGGAGAAGAAGGAAGAGGGGCAAGGAAAAGCACAAAUCUCGGGGGUCAAAAAUGAGUAAGAACAAAAAUGGCUUUGGCGAGCUUUCGCAACAAUCACGGUGCACCAGCCAGUUUUCUCAAACCCAGUGAACUUUCUAAUGGCAUUAGGAGAAGUUCACUGAGCUUGGCGUUGGGAGAAUUUAUAGUAUUCUUGGAAAGGGUUUUCAAACAUUCUAGUUUGAAAAGAAAUAAAAUCAACAAUCUUAUUUGCUCUGUACUAUUUGCCUUUCUGUCCUACUUAUUCAUGCAGUCUUAAUUUAUAAAAACAAAUGGAAACUGCACUCCUUGGGUCUCCAGAAAUACUGGGCCUUUUGCUGUGCUUACUUUCAGCUUCACAGCAACCUUGAGGGAGACAUGGUUACUUCCAAUCACAAAGGGAGCAACCAAGUCUGGAGCCAUCUGGAGUCUUCCCGCAAGCAACCACAGCUUGUUGGAAGGGCAGGUUUUGAACCCAGGUCCCCAUGACCACAGGGCAGUCCAGAAGUUCUUGGAGUCUUGGAAUAGGCACCAAAUCCCCCCGGUGAGAACUCCGAGUAGAAGGCUGGUGUCUGAACAUUGAGCCAGUGCCCACAAGGCCAGUGUGUCUGGGCUAACGCUUCCCAGCCCGGGGCCACCGUGUCCUCCGUGAGGCCAGCAGAGCAGCCUCCACAGACCGCCCACCGCACACCCAAGGACAGAGACGUGCCCUGGUCACAGGUCCACGACAUCGCCUGUCCCAGUUUGGCUGUUGCUUCCUCUUGCCAGGCAAGCCCUCUGGCUCUUCUGGCCAGGGUUAUUUAUAGCCCUGUUGUAUUUGGUUUGCCAUGGACGCCCUCCAACUCCCGUCCAGUGUCAGACAACCCGGGUGCGGAAGCCAGGUGAGCACUCGAAGGCGGGGAAGGCAGAGGAAUCUCCAGCAGAGGUUUCCGUGGUGAGGAGGAAGCCAGGCUGCCAGCCCUCCGGCCAGAGGAGAGCCCCACCCCUCCCCUCCCGGAGCUCUCCCUCCGGGGCUUCCCACCAUGCUGCUUCCCACACAGGUGGGAGCCCAGAGGCAGGUUUGGGGGACCAGGGGACAGCAGAGGUGCCGGGUUGUGGGCAGAAGUGAGGGCGUGCUGCUCCCUGGGCAGCUGUGUGGAUCUGGGUGGCAGAGGCUGGGAGGAGGAUGGGAACAGGGUCAGGGAAGUCCAACAGCUCCGUCCCCACGCUCUGGCCUGGAGAAGUGUUUUGCGGGUAAAUGGAGUUGAGAAGGAUAAACUAAUAAAUGAAGAUGAACGAGUGAGCUGUGUGGAUGAAUGAACCCCGGCGGGUUCUGUCUGCAAGUAGUCCGGGGUUAGAUUGUCAACUACUUUGUAUGUACCUGUGCUUGCAAGCUGCUUUAAGAAAAAUAACAAUGUGUUUUCUUUCCCCGACGAUGUUUCAUGGUUCAAAAGCAUUUCCACAUGUACUGUAUCAUUUGCUGAAAACACAUGUGAUGAACAGGAUUUGUUCUCCCAGCUUUAUGUACAGACUAAGAAAUCCAGGACAGGACGAUGAAGUGAGGGUCCCACCGUGGGUGAGUGAAGCAGGAUUUGACUUCCUUCUGUCUCUGUGGUGUUCAACUUUUACUUGAAUGGAUCUCAUAGUCACACGAUUCAAAAUUCAAAAUUGUCACAGCGUUAAGAAGACCUACCUCUGCCCCAUCCACUCUGGCCACCCUUCUUCCAUGAGCAAAAGACAUCAGGCUGUGCACCCUGCUUCAUAGUUUUAUAUGUUUUGCAGUUUGCUUUGGGUUUUUUAAAACUUUUUUAGUUUUAAGCUUUUAAUAGUCCCCAAAACCAAAUAAAAUCAGUGUUUCAGCCAGAGCACCAUCACUCGAUAAGACUUUUGAGAAUACCCACGCCUGUCCCCUCCCUGUAGUCCUACAAGUUUUCCAUCACAAUGACCGCGUGACAGCAUCCGCCUGCGAAGUGAAGGACAGGAGAUGUGCAGAAAGCCGCCUCUCUCGCGUCAGUGUGCGCACACCAGACACGGGCAGCGUCCCGGCAGUCCCGCGUGGAAGUGCAUGACGCUGUGCUCUAAACGCAGAGAGCUCAUCAGUGCGGGGGAGCCUCCUCCCGCUGUCCACGGCUGCGCGGCCCUGCCUGCGUGUGCGUCCCUCAGCACGCGCUCCCACUUCGCCUGCGAAGGGAGCUGAGGCCCUUCCCAUGCAGACGAGGGCCGUGGGCAGCCGUGAGCACACUGCAGCUGCUUCUGUCCGAUGAUUCUACAAAGCAAAACCCGGGCCAAAGGAUAAAAACACUUACAAUUAAAUCAAAUUUCCACGUCUCCACAUAAGAGUUCGUUUUACUUUAAUCUGUUACAUAUGUAGAACUGUUGGUUUCCCAGUAGAUUCGCCAACAAAUUUCUAUUGUUAAAUUGAAUUUUUGCCAAUAUGAUUGUUUAGACUGAUUGUUUAGUAUAGUUUUACUUUGGAUUUUUCUUCCAUACUAUAAAUUGGAAUUUUUUGGUCAUUUAUCUUUUGAUUUUUGCUCAUAAAGUUCUUUUUUAUUUGAUAUUUGGACUUUUUACAUUUUGGGUUGCCAAGAAAUUUAAAACAUAUUUUAAAUGCUAAGUUGGAAAGGUCUUCCUUAAUGUAAAGAUAUAAAGGAAUUAAUUCAUAUUUUCUUCUAGUAAUUUAUUUUCGUGUGAUGUACCUUCAAUUGCUUUGGAGUUUAUCUUGGUAUCAAGGGUAAGGUAGAGCCAACUUCAUCUUUCUCCAGGACAACCCCAUGGUACUAACAAUAUUUAUGCAUCUUUAUUUUUACCUUUUGGUUUGUUGUCAAGCAGGCUGGCCUGGAACCUGCUUCUUCUUGUCUCAGGUUCCUGUAGCAGGAUUACAGACAUGCAUCUCCAUGAGGGCCGAUGCUAUUUAUUUUUAAAUAUUUUUUGCCCUGAUUUCAGUGCUUAUGCACUGAUUUGUCUCAGUACUGGGGAAUUUUUUGAAACCAGAUUUUCCGAUACAGCAAGUCUAAUUGUAUUUCUUUACCAUCCUUUUCCAGCUGAAAUAACAUUUGUCUUAUUAAUCAGGACCUUUUUAUGUCACAUUUGCAUAGAAGAAUUGGGAAGGAGAUGCCUUUAUCUUCCACAUAAAGGAAGUAAUAUUAAGGAAAUCUAUUUAUAAGCCUGGAAGAAAAAUAAUUCUCCAGAUAUUAUUGCUAGAAAAUCUGAGACAACAGCAUUUUCCUUCAUUUAUAAAGAUGUUGCCAAGUGACUUCCUGCCACAUGGGAGGCAUUCUCCUCAAAGUGGUCCGGGGGUCAGGGGACCCCACCAUCCCUGAAGGGGAGACGAACCCGAACCCUAGAGCACACAAACCUAUGGAGCACAAGCCUCCUGCUGCUGCACACGGCCCACUCGAGCGGGCGACUGCAAAGCCUUCACCUCAAAAAAGAAAAAUAACCAACGUUUCCAACGUUUUAUCAACCAAGCGAAAGGCUUCUGCGGGCAUACGUGUCUACAGUUUCACCGGCGUUCUGGCAGCCAGCCGCACUUCCCAGGGUAAAGCUUGCUUAUUUGUGCAGGAGAGCUUGGAACAGCGUUAGCGAGUUCAAAGGUUCCGCAGAAGGAGCUCUGCUGGCCAGGCAGGCAGGAAAACAAGGGCAGAGCCAGCACCCUCCAGGGGUCACCGUGCGCGGGUUCGGGCGCUCCCGCCGGGCCGGACUCACCCCUCCUCCCUGUUCCCGCGCUGCCUUCUCCUCCUGUGACUCCGUCCUCCGCCUCUGGUGUCCGGCAGUCUCUGCUGAGGCCACGGCCUCGCCUCUCGGCCCCCUGCGCUGUCAGCUUCAGAAGCACCGCUGCCCUCCAGCCCUGGGACCCCGGGACACACACUCCCCGCUCCCGAGUACCGGCCCCUCCCGAUCCAGCCUCCGCUCAGGCCCCUCGGACUCCUUCGGUUUCCCAUUUCCCUGGCCCUUAGCACUGGCCCUCUGGCCACUUGCUGGUGUCUCUCUCCGCUGGCCGCCCUGUGCCUGGGAGCUUGCCCCCUGCUCAGUGGCCUCCAGGACCACCUCUGCCCUCCGUCUCGGAGGACUCACCGGCCAGGAGCCGAGCUUCCGGCCUCUGCCCCCUCCGCCCCCCCAGCCUGGUGUUCAUCUCAGGUGAGAAAGCCAGCACGCGCCUGAUGAUGAGGCCAACGUCUCUCUUCUCCACGCUGCAAGGACAGAACACCCGCACCGUGACGUCGAGAGUCCAUGGCAGGCCCCUGGCCACAGCCACAGCUCACUCUGGGCUUCUGUCCUCUUCCCUGUGAAGCAGGUGCAGCUACCCCCUGAGACUGAAGUGGACGGUGUCCUUCCUGUGUCAGGAUCAGCGGUGGGACCCAUCUCCGAGUGACAGCCAGGGCUUGAGGAAGGAAUGUAAGUUCUCCACAGGGAAUGCAGCUCUUGAGAAGAAAUGGGUUUACUACUCCCCGUCCAUCUUCCAAAUGCAAGACUAGAAAGGGUUUGCUCUUCAGCCACUAAACAAAUUCACGCUCUUCCCAUUGCCAGAAGUAAGAGAGGAGCAAUGGACUUCUCCGGUCAAUCAACGAGCCGAACCUUGCUGCAAAGUGUUGCCUGCAUAUCCGACCUCAGGUGGGAAGGAAGCCAUCCUCCUCUGGGGCGUGAUGUAAAUGAUCAGCAACACCAUUCUUUCGGGAGGGCUGCUGGUGUGCUGAGAGCGCAGCUCUGUUUUCCACAGUACCAAGAGGUGUUUCCCAAAGUGGGGGCCGCUUUCCACGGGACACGAGAUGGUGCUGCGUUGGGCCGGACAAUGUGGGUUGAACACCUGCAUUUAUUUUAACACCUAUUAGGACAACACCAGUGCUUAGUUUUCCAGAUGCCACUGUUUAGGGUAAACCGAGUUAAGUACAAGACUCCAAUCUGGGGCCAAGCAAACUAGGGACAUGGUGGCACAGGUGGUUCGGUGGGUGUGGAAGGAGCCCGGAUGCAGAUGAAGCAUCUUCAAAGGAUGUGGCUCAGCCCUCUGCAGCUAAAAACCACCCAGCCGUGUAUGCCACAGGUAGAGGGGACUUCGGACCACGGAGCCCAGCAUGGCAAUGACAAUCUUUGCUAAGUUUUCAGUCUUUCGUGGUUGUCAUUGGUAGUAUUCUAUUAAUUGCCGAGGUUGUUCCUUUAAAGAUUUACACCAACAAUAGAAGGAAGAUCAAGAGGGAACAGCUAAGUCAUGGACUCAACAGCAAGUGUCAACCUUUCACACGUAAUGAAUUCUGUUUAAGGCUACCAUCAAGACCGGUCCCUGUCAGCUAAGGUAGGAACUAAGAAACUAAUGAGAGCAAUCAGAUUUUUAAAUGCUUUACGUACCACUGGAAUUUAUGUCUUAAUUUAAUUGCCGAAUUCUUAAUCUGAUUAGAG
rnacentral:lncRNA from 1 species